AUUGAACGCUGGCGGCAGGCUUAACACAUGCAAGUCGAGCGAGCGGCGGACGGGUGAGUAAUGUCUGGGAAACUGCCUGAUGGAGGGGGAUAACUACUGGAAACGGUAGCUAAUACCGCAUACCAUCAGAUGUGCCCAGAUGGGCUUAGCUAGUGGGUGGGGUAAUGGCUCACCUAGGUGACGAUCCCUAGCUGGUCUGAGAGGAUGACCAGCCACACUGGAACUGAGACACGGUCCAGACUCCUACGGUAUGCACCAGUGGGGAAGAUUGCACAAUGGGCGCAAGCCUGAUGCAGCCAUGCCGCGUGUGUGAGGAAGGCCUUCGGGUUGUAAAGCACUGUCAGCGAGGAGGCGUUACUCGCAGAAUAAUCACCGGCUAACUCCGUGCCAGCCGCCGCGGUAAUUC
rnacentral:rRNA from 1 species